rnacentral:rRNA from 1 species
AUUGAACGCUGGCGGCAUGCCUUACACAUGCAAGUCGAACGGCAGCACGGGUUCUUGCACCUGGUGGCGAGUGGCGAACGGGUGAGUAAUACAUCGGAACAUGUCCUGUAGUGGGGGAUAGCCCGGCGAAAGCCGGAUUAAUACCGCAUACGAACUACGGAUGAAAGCGGGGGACCGUCGGGCCUCGCGCUAUAGGGUUGGCCGAUGGCUGAUUAGCUAGUUGGUGGGGUAAAGGCCUACCAAGGCGACGAUCAGUAGCUGGUCUGAGAGGACGACCAGCCACACUGGGACUGAGACACGGCCCAGACUCCUACGGGAGGCAGCAGUGGGGAAUUUUGGACAAUGGGCGAAAGCCUGAUCCAGCAAUGCCGCGUGUGUGAAGAAGGCCUUCGGGUUGUAAAGCACUUUUGUCCGGAAAGAAAUCCUUGGCCCUAAUACGGUCGGGGGAUGACGGUACCGGAAGAAUAAGCACCGGCUAACUACGUG